rnacentral:rRNA from 2 species
GUGCCAGCAGCCGCGGUAAUACGUAGGUGGCAAGCGUUGUCCGGAUUUAUUGGGCGUAAAGCGAGCGCAGGCGGUUUUUUAAGUCUGAUGUGAAAGCCUUCGGCUUAACCGGAGAAGUGCAUCGGAAACUGGGAGACUUGAGUGCAGAAGAGGACAGUGGAACUCCAUGUGUAGCGGUGGAAUGCGUAGAUAUAUGGAAGAACACCAGUGGCGAAGGCGGCUGUCUAGUCUGUAACUGACGCUGAGGCUCGAAAGCAUGGGUAGCGAACAGGAUUAGAUACCCUGGUAGUCCAUGCCGUAAACGAUGAGUGCUAAGUGUUGGAGGGUUUCCGCCCUUCAGUGCUGCAGCUAACGCAUUAAGCACUCCGCCUGGGGAGUACGACCGCAAGGUUGAAACUCAAAGGAAUUGACGGGGGCCCGCACAAGCGGUGGAGCAUGUGGUUUAAUUCGAAGCUACGCGAAGAACCUUACCAGGUCUUGACAUCUUCUGCCAAUCUUAGAGAUAAGACGUUCCCUUCGGGGACAGAAUGACAGGUGGUGCAUGGUUGUCGUCAGCUCGUGUCGUGAGAUGUUGGGUUAAGUCCCGCAACGAGCGCAACCCUUAUUAUCAGUUGCCAGCAUUCAGUUGGGCACUCUGGUGAGACUGCCGGUGACAAACCGGAGGAAGGUGGGGAUGACGUCAAAUCAUCAUGCCCCUUAUGACCUGGGCUACACACGUGCUACAAUGGACGGUACAACGAGUUGCGAAGUCGUGAGGCUAAGCUAAUCUCUUAAAGCCGUUCUCAGUUCGGAUUGUAGGCUGCAACUCGCCUACAUGAAGUUGGAAUCGCUAGUAAUCGCGGAUCAGCAUGCCGCGGUGAAUACGUUCCCGGGCCUUGUACACACCGCCCGUCACACCAUGAGAGUUUGUAACACCCAAA